rnacentral:tRNA from 1 species
GGACAGGUGGCCGAGUGGUUUAAGGCAGUGCUCUUGAAAAGCACCGAAGAUUCAAAGUCUUCCGUGAGUUCGAAUCUCACCCUGUCCGCCA